ACCUAUUGCUGCCAACCUACCUACCGCUGCCAACCUACCUACUGCUGCUAAUCUAUCGCUGCUAAUCUAUCGCUGCUAAUCUAUCGCUGCUAAUCUAUCGCUGCUAAUCUAUCACUGCUAAUCUAUCGCUGCCAACCUACCUACCACUGCUAAUCUAUCACUACUGCCAAUCUAUAUAGAGUAAAUCAUGGUCCCAUUUGGUCCCAUUUUGUAAAAAUAGGGACUAGAAUCACUAAUUUAUUAGUAGAACAUGAUCUGAGACUAGAUUUAUAAUAUAAACAGUGUAAAGUGACUAAUUUACUAAACACUAUAUGAGACCAGGACUAAGAUAUCUAAUAAUGGAACCAAAGGAAAAUCUGGUCCCAGUCCCAUGCAUGGUCACACAGCC
rnacentral:sRNA from 2 species